rnacentral:rRNA from 1 species
AUUGAACGCUGGCGGCAGGCCUAACACAUGCAAGUCGAGCGGAUGAAGGGAGCUUGCUCCUGGAUUCAGCGGCGGACGGGUGAGUAAUGCCUAGGAAUCUGCCUGGUAGUGGGGGAUAACGUCCGGAAACGGGCGCUAAUACCGCAUACGUCCUGAGGGAGAAAGUGGGGGAUCUUCGGACCUCACGCUAUCAGAUGAGCCUAGGUCGGAUUAGCUAGUUGGUGGGGUAAAGGCCUACCAAGGCGACGAUCCGUAACUGGUCUGAGAGGAUGAUCAGUCACACUGGAGCUGGGACAGGGUCCAGGCUCCUACGGGAGGCAGCAGUGGGGAAUAUUGGACAAUGGGCGAAAGCCUGAUCCAGCCAGGCCGCGUGUGUGAAGAAGGUCUUCGGAUUGUAAAGCACUUUAAGUUGGGAGGAAGGGCAGUAAGUUAAUACCUUGCUGUUUUGACGUUACUAACAGAAUAAGCACCGGCUAACUUCGUG